rnacentral:rRNA from 1 species
UGAGAGAGUGAACUGCCACAUUGGGACUGAGACACGGCCCAGACUCCUACGGGAGGCAGCAGUGGGGAAUAUUGCACAAUGGGGGAAACCCUGAUGCAGCGACGCCGCGUGAGGGAAGAAGUAUUUCGGUAUGUAAAGCUCUAUCAGCAGGGAAGAUAAUGACGGUACCUGACUAAGAAGCCCCGGCUAAGUACGUGCCAGCAG